rnacentral:lncRNA from 1 species
AUCAUUUCAAUCAAAUAUUCUCCAAUAAAAUAAUAUUACACGUAAAUCUAAAAUAUUUUUUUAUUUUUUAUCCACACAUUUUCUAUUGAUUUGACAUGAAUAAUACAUUUUUUUUCCUUAAAAUGUGGCUCAAACAUGGGCUUAAUAUAAAAAUAAAAAUAAAACUAAAUAAAAAAUAAAAAAAUUAAAACAUCCUCUUGUGUCCAUUUCUUCCUACCCCAUGCCACCCCCUCGCUACCCAAAAAUUGGGAAAACCAAUCCCGUAACCACCACCUGUGGUCGAUCGUGCCAUCAUCAUUCUCUCCACCUCUGAAACCCCUUUUCUCAUCGUCAUUCACUUUUCCCAAAUCCUUGUGUAAUACGUUUGCUUGAAAGGUGGCGGAGGGUGUCAGGGUCGAGGUGAAAGCCUGCAGUGAAGAUGGAGGAAUCAGGUGGGUCGUUUGUGGUGGAGGUACGGAGGGGGAAGAGUGCUGUUUGGGAAGGGAAGUUAUUGAUUUAAGCUUUGCAUAGCAUGGGUGGUAGGUGUAUCAACUCCAAUUAGACCCAUCAAUUUGGUGGCGAAAGAAAGUUUAAUGGUCAAUAAAUUAUCAAAUCAAUAUAGAGGUUGAUUUUGGAGUUUUGCUUUGUUUUGUGAUUGUGAUUUAGGGAUUUUACUUUGUGUUGACAGUGAUAGUGGUGGCCGUGGGUGAUGGGGCAACGACGGGAGGAUGUGGAUGGCGAUGGGUAGCAAGGAUUUUGUUUUAGGUUUUGCUUUGUGUUGUGGUUGUGAUUUGGGGAUUUUGCUGGCGAUGGGUAGCAAGGAUUUUGUUUUAGGUUUUGCUUUGUGUUGUGGUUGUGAUUUGGGGAUUUUGCUUUGUAUUGGUGAUGAUGGUGGUGGCCGUAGGUGAUGGGGGCGACGGGGGGUAGUGUUGUCAAAAGUUACACCGUGUAGGAGUAUAUAUCACGAAACACGAAUUGGCAACGCAGAUAACAAAACAAUCAUCAACUUGUAUCAAUGAAUGACUUGAACACAAUAUCGUUAUCCUCAAACGAUAUUUGCCCCUGCUCUUAUGAAUUUGAGAUGCUUCGAAAGUUGUUGGCAAAUGGUUUGCAGGAUUAUAACAAG